ACUCAAAUGAAUUGACGGGGGCCCGCACAAGCGGUGGAGCAUGUGGUUUAAUUCGACGCAACGCGAAGAACCUUACCUGGGUUUGAACUGCAGAUGACAACCUCCGAAAAGAGGUCUCCCUUCGGGGUGUCUGCAGAGGUGCUGCAUGGCUGUCGUCAGCUCGUGUCGUGAGAUGUUGGGUUAAGUCCCGCAACGAGCGCAACCCUUAUCCUUAGUUGCCAUCGGGUCAUGCCGGGAACUCUAAGGAGACUGCCCCGGAAAACGGGGAGGAAGGUGGGGAUGACGUCAAGUCCUCAUGGCCUCUAUGUCCAGGGCUACACACGUGCUACAAUGGGCGAUACAGAGGGUCGCAAAGCCGCGAGGUGGAGCUAAUCCCAAAAAGUCGCUCUCAGUUCGGAUUGCAGUCUGCAACUCGACUGCAUGAAGUUGGAAUCGCUAGUAAUCCCGGAUCAGCAGGCCGGGGUGAAUACGUUCCCGGGCCUUGUACACACCGCCCGU
rnacentral:rRNA from 1 species